rnacentral:misc_RNA from 1 species
AGAUUAAUUCUAUUUGAUGGAGAGGAUUAAAGUGCAAGAGAAAUUAAGUUAAGAUGGAGAUUUGUUAUUGGUAACUUGAAUUCUUACUAUUGAAGAAAGUACAACUAUAACCAAGUUGUAGUUUACUUAGUCAAUAUUGGUGGCUUAAGUUAAAGAAAGUGGCUACAUGUGGGAUAUUCUAAAGCAUUUUAUAAUGCUAGCUAAUAGCCAGCUAUUUAUAAUAGGCAAAUUCAAGUUGUAAGCUGACUUUUACAUGGCUACAUAAAGGAUAUGAAUUCUCCAUUUGUAGUACCCUUUUUGUGAUAUGAAAAAUUAGUAAGAGAAAGAAGGGUGUGUGAGACUGAGAAUUUGUGAGGCUUUUGGGGUGUAAUUGGGUUUGAGUGGUUUGUGAGUGAAGAAAAUAUUUAG